rnacentral:misc_RNA from 1 species
GCGUCGCAGGCCUUUUUAUU